rnacentral:rRNA from 1 species
GUGCCAGCCGCCGCGGUAAUUCCAGCUCCAAUAGCGUAUAUUAAAGUUGUUGCAGUUAAAAAGCUCGUAGUUGGAUCUCGGGCACUAGCAUGUGGUACGCUUAACUGCUGUUACUACAUGUCUGGUCCUAAUCAACCGGUUGGCCGUUGAUGCCCUUUAUUGGGUGUUUUCGGUAGCCGGUACGUUUACUUUGAGAAAAUUAGAGUGCUUAAAGCAGGCCUUACGCCUGAAUAAUGUUGCAUGGAAUAAUAGAAUAGGACCUCGGUUCUAUUUUGUUGGUUUUGUAGAGCAUUGAGGUAAUGAUUAAUAGGGACAGACGGGGGCAUUCGUAUUGCGGUGUUAGAGGUGAAAUUCUUGGAUCGCCGCAAGACGAACAACUGCGAAAGCAUUUGCCAAGAAUGUUUUCAUUGAUCAAGAACGAAAGUUGGAGGUUCGAAGACGAUUAGAUACCGUCCUAGUUCCAACCAUAAACGAUGCCAACUAGCGAUUAGCUGAUGUUAAUUUAACGACACAGCUAGCAGCUUCCGGGAAACAAAGUUUUUGGGUUCCGGGGGAAGUAUGGUUGCA